rnacentral:tRNA from 1 species
GCCGAGGUGGCGAAAUGGUAGACGCACUACCUUGAGGUGGUAGCGCCCUUAACAGGCAUGGAGGUUCAAGUCCUCUCCUCGGCA